rnacentral:lncRNA from 1 species
UAGGGCAUUGUAGCUGGGUGAAGGGUACUGCUUCUUGGCUCUGUGCCCAUGCUCUGGCCACUCCCCCUCCCUGCCUGAGGGUAACAGGGAAAUGGGAGGGCCUUUGGGCUGGGGACAACCCUGCUGCUUGCACUCUGCAUAGAGAAAGCAUGAGGAGAACAGAGGAAGAGAGAGCAGGAAAGAAACAGAAGAUGCAGGCUGAUGGUUCAGAAGAUCGGGCAGGAAGCAGCCUCAAUGAGGGUCUAUCACAGCCUACAGACAGCACAGAAACCAUCCCAACACAGCUGCCCUGCAAGCUGGCAUCUACCCCAGGAUACAGCCUGCCCGAGGGCUCAAAACCCCAGGAUUGCAGUUUCCCUUCUGUCUGGGCCCUCAGGUCUCUUUGCUACCAGACUGUGAGAAUGGUUUCCACCUGGGGACCCAGAGCACUACCAGCAUCCAGCACAGGUGUACAACAGACAUUUGUGGGAUGAAUGAACACAGGAUAAAUGAAGACUUCUAGAAACCCUUCCUCCUCUACACAAGGCUCCAGGCAUCCUUAUAAAUUUAUAAUCUUAUAAAUUAAAGAUGACUCCUUCUUGACUAUAAGUAGAAAGAAGGCUUCAGUUAAGUGAAGAUCCAGUUAAGUCAGGUUUACUCUGUCCAAGAAGCUCAACUUUUGCCACCCAGUUUUAACACCUGAUGGUGGCACAGUUGCACCACAUACAAUUUUCAGGACUCUGAUGAAUGCGCUGGGCGUUUCUGCACUAACCCUCCUAACCAGUGUGCCAAUGGGAUUUGGCAAAACUAUGAGCAGUGACAGAAUGACAGAACCAAGGAAUCAUGAGAUUUGCUAUAAGCAAGACAGAGAGCCAGGAAAUGAGGAGGGGAGAGCGCUCUGGGCUGUGACUCUGGGUUGGCUGGAGCACACCCCGGAGUGGCACAGGGCUCAGGGCUGGCACUUCCUCCAAGACUUGCUCUGGGGCCAGGUCCAAGACUACAAUCUCCUUGCUGUUUUUCCAUGGCAGUAGCUUAGACUGUAGUUCUCUGCCAUGAAGUGGUUCAGAG